rnacentral:rRNA from 1 species
GAUGAACGCUGGCGGCGUGCCUAACACAUGCAAGUCGAGCGAGAAAUUUUAAAGCGAAACUUCGGUCUAGCGAUAAAAUGGAAAGCGGCGGACGGGUGAGUAACGCGUAGGCAACCUGCCCCUUACAGAGGGAUAGCCUCGGGAAACCGGGAUUAAAACCUCAUAACGCAUUUUAAACACAUGUUUGAGAUGCCAAAGAUUUAUCGGUAAGGGAUGGGCCUGCGUCUGAUUAGCUAGUUGGUAAGGUAACGGCUUACCAAGGCAACGAUCAGUAGCCGACAUGAGAGGGUAAUCGGCAACAUUGGAACUGAGACACGGUCCAAACUCCUACGGGAGGCAGCAGUGGGGAAUAUUGCACAAUGGGCGAAAGCCUGAUGCAGAAACGCCGCGUGAGCGAAGAAGGCCUUUGGGUCGUAAAGCUCUGUCGGAAGGGAAGAAACAAAUGACGGUACCUUCUGAGGAAGCCCCGGCUAACUACGUGCCAGCAGCCGCCGUAA